rnacentral:rRNA from 1 species
AAGUGCAUGUGGUGGAUGCCUUGGCGAUUACAGGCGACGAAAGACGUGUAAGCCUGCGAAAAAGCUACGGGGAGCUGGCAAUAAAGCUUUGAUCCGUAGAUGUCUGAAUGGGGAAACCCGGCCCGCAAGGGUCACUCCUGAUUGAAUAUAUAGAUCAGGUAGAGCGAACCCGGUGAACUGAAACAUCUAAGUAGCCGGAGGAAAAGAAAUCAACCGAGAUUCCGAGAGUAGUGGCGAGCGAAAUCGGAGGAGCCUGCAACCUUUAGUUUCUGAAUUAGUAGAACAGUCUGGAAAGUCUGGCCAUAGUGGGUGAUAGCCCCGUACGCAAAAUUCAGAAGCGGAAAUAGGGUUGGAACAAGUAGGGCGGGACACGAGAAAUCCUGUCUGAAUAUGGGGGGACCAGUCCUCCAAGGCUAAAUACUACGUAAUCGACCGAUAGUGAACCAGUACCGUGAGGAAGG